rnacentral:lncRNA from 1 species
GGGCCAGACUCACGCUGUUUGUUCCAGACCAGGACUCUGGCUGAGGAGAGCUGAUGGAGGAGCCAAGACUCUGGAGGAUGACAUCACUCCACCAACCAGGAUCCUCAGACAAAUUACGUUUGUAACCAGACCAGGAAUCUGGAGGACUGAUGGAGCAGCUGUACAUCUGGAAGGCAAAUCCUGAGGAUCACCAGGACUCUACCAUCAAGGAUGCCUCACACACCUGAGCUGAACCUCACCUGAUCCUGUGUGGUCGGGGGUAGACACACCUGAGCUAAACCCGCCCUGAUCCUGCCAGCCUGCUGGUCCCAUCUCCUCAGUUCAUCUGAGCCUCGUCCUCCAGAAGACCUGCUG